rnacentral:rRNA from 1 species
UACGGAGGGUGCAAGCGUUAUCCGGAUUCACUGGGUUUAAAGGGUGCGUAGGUGGGUCUGUAAGUCAGUGGUGAAAUCUCCGGGCUUAACCCGGAAACUGCCAUUGAUACUAUAGGUCUUGAAUUAUCUGGAGGUGAGCGGAAUAUGUCAUGUAGCGGUGAAAUGCUUAGAUAUGACAUAGAACACCAAUUGCGAAGGCAGCUUACUACCCGAAUAUUGACACUGAGGCACGAAAGCGUGGGGAUCAAACAGG